rnacentral:rRNA from 1 species
CCUACGGGGGGCAGCAGUGGGGAAUAUUGCACAAUGGGCGCAAGCCUGAUGCAGCCAUGCCGCGUGUGUGAAGAAGGCCUUCGGGUUGUAAAGCACUUUCAGCGGGGGGGAAGGCGUUAAGGUUAAUAACCUUGUCGAUUGACGUUACCCGCAGAAGAAGCACCGGCUAACUCCGUGCCAGCAGCCGCGGUAAUACGGAGGGUGCAAGCGUUAAUCGGAAUUACUGGGCGUAAAGCCCACGCAGGCGGUCUGUCAAGUCGGGUGUGAAAUCCCUGGGCUCAACCUGGGAACUGCAUUCGAAACUGGCAGGCUAGAGUCUUGUAGAGGGGGGUAGAAUUCCAGGUGUAGCGGUGAAAUGCGUAGAGAUCUGGAGGAAUACCGGUGGCGGAGGCGGCCCCCUGGACAAAGACUGACGCUCAGGUGCGAAAGCGUGGGGAGCAAACAGGAUUAGAUACCCGAGUAGUC